rnacentral:rRNA from 1 species
AUAUACGACUAUACCUGCUAGAAAACUCGGGAUCCCAUCCGCUCUCCUAUAGAUAAGCUAGUAAGGGCAGUAUUACGUUUCGGAGAAGUCUCUACUAUAAGGCUAAGAUAGCCUAUAUA